rnacentral:rRNA from 1 species
GACGAACGCUGGCGGCGUGCUUAACACAUGCAAGUCGAACGGAAAGGCCUGCUUUCCCUUGUGGAUUGCGGGUACUCGAGUGGCGAACGGGUGAGUAACACGUGAGUGAUCUGCCCCCAACUUGGGUAUAAGCCUGGGAAACUGGGUCUAAUUCCCGAUAGGACUGCAGGGUGGUGCCUGUGGUGGAAAACGAUUUUCUAGUGGUUGGGGAUGAGCUCGCGGCCUAUCAGCUUGUUGGUGGGGUAAUGGCCUACCAAGGCGACGAUGGGUAGCCGGCCUGAUAGGAUGAUCAGCGAAAGUGGAACUGAGACACGGUCCAGACUCCGACGGGAGGCAGAAGUGGGGAAUAGUGGAGAAUGGGCGCGAGCUUGAUCCAGCCAUACCGCGUGGGUGAAGAAGGCCUUCGGGUUGGAAAGGCGUUUUGUUGGGAAAGAAAAGCAGCAGGUUAAUACCCCGCUGGUCUGACGGUACCCAAAGAAUAAGCACCGGCUAACUUCGUG